rnacentral:tRNA from 1 species
GGUGAAUAUAAUUCAAAGGUUAGAAUAUCAAUUUGUGGUAUUGAAUAUUCUGGUUCGAGUCCAGAUUUUCACC